GUUCGGCUUAGCUUCAGGACUCCACAUGGGUCGCCCAACAGGAAACAGCGUUGAAGUUGUCAGUGCAUUAAACCGCUAGGGGGCAAAGAUCUCUGUUGAAGAAUGUGAGGAAAAUGUGAGGCAACUCCGUCAUUACAGAACCUAUGGAAGUGUAUGGGAAGAAACAUGACAAAAACGGCCAGAAAACACCAGAGCAUGUCGCAUUUGGAAAAACUGCACCUGAUCAAAACAGUCACUAAGGCUAGGUCCACACUGUGCACACUGUGUAAAGGUAUUGUGAGUACCCAGGCAGAUUAGAGCAACAUGGUCAGAGGCUCCAUCGGUGGGAAAUCAACCCUCUUUUAAAGAGUCAAGCUGAGGAGUGAAGAGCUGCC